rnacentral:tRNA from 1 species
AGCCCCAUGGUGCAGUGGUUUUGAAUGUUGGACUAGAACUUCAGAAGACCAGGGUUUGAAUCCCUGCACAGCCA